CAAUAGCGUAUACUAAUGUUGUUGCAGUUAAAAAGCUCGUAGUUGAACUUCUGGUAGGAGUGUCCCGGCCUUUUUGUUUUUACAAAUUGUAUGCUGUGUGACAUCUCUGGCCAUCCUUCUUCUUUGUUUAAAGAAGAUCUUUCACUGUAAAAAAAUUAGGGUGUUCAAAGCAAAAGUUUCUUUGGAAUAUAUUAGUAUGGGAUGAGAAGAUAGGCUCUAGAUGCUAUUUUGUUGGUUUGCACAUUUAGAGAAUGAUUAACAGGGACAGUUGGGGGUAUUCGUAUUUACAUGUCAGAGGUGAAAUUCUUGGAUUUUGGAAAGACGAACUACUGCGAAAGCAUUUACCAAGGAUGUUUUCAUUAA
rnacentral:rRNA from 1 species